rnacentral:rRNA from 1 species
CGCAGCCGCGGUAAUUCCAGCUCCAAUAGCGUAUAUUAAAGUUGUUGCAGUUAAAAAGACUCGUAGUUGAAUUUCGGGAUCAACAUGUCGGUCGUGCCUCUGGUAUGUACUGGUAUCGUUGAUUUCUACCUUCUGACGAACCAUGAUGUCAUUAAUUUGGUGUCAUGGGGAAUCAGGACUGUUACUUUGAAAAAAUUAGAGUGUUUAAAGCAGGCAUACGCUUGAAUACAUUAGCAUGGAAUAAUGAAAUAGGACGUUUGACCCUAUUUUGUUGGUUUCUAGGAUCGACGUAAUGAUUAAUAGGGAUAGUUGGGGGCAUUAGUAUUCAAUUGUCAGAGGUGAAAUUCUUGGAUUUAUUGAAGACUAACUACUGCGAAAGCAUUUGCCAAGGAUGUUCUCAUUAAUCAAGAACGAAAGUUAGGGGAUCGAAGACGAUCAGAUACCGUCGUAGUCUUAACCAUAAACUAUGCCGACUAGGGAUCGGAUGAUGUUAAUUUUUAAUGACUCAUUC